AAAAGUCGAAAAAAAAAAAAAAAAAAAAAGUGGGAAUGAAAAAAUGUUUAGCGACUAAAAUAUUUUGAUCACAGAUAAUAACAUUUGCCGACCAAAAAUCAAUUUUGUCGCCAAAGACGUGAAAAUUUUAGAGGGAAACCAUUUAAUUGCCCCCGCCUGUUCUCUGUUUAAACCAAUCAGAUUGUUCUCUCUCUCAUACAGAUUCUCCUUCACCACCAAACCUCACCCCAUCUCAUCUCACUCUGUGACUUAGGGCUUAAAAACAUGUCCGUCUCUCUCUCACUCUGUGACUCUCUCAGUCUACGAUUCUCUCUGUCUCUCACAUCUGCCCUCCUCCCAUUCUCUCUCUCACAUCUGCCCAGCUUCGAUUCUCUCUCUCUCUCUCUCUCACUUUUGUCUCCAUCGCUGUUGGUACAGGAGCACCAUCGGCGUCGACACCCGUUGCACAUGAGGACCAUCGCAAACCAACAGCCUAUAUCAUCUUAUCUCGUAGUCACGAUCCAUCAUUGGGGCACUAGCCAAAAAUGUGGAGAAAGCAUUGUAGGCUCUUUUAAUUCUGAUAAAGCAAUUGUUUUCCCGUACAAUGAAGUUUGUGAUUCGACUUUAAACUUAAGUAUGUCUUUAAAGAUUGGUCAAGGAUCAUAUGGAUCUGUUUACCUAGGAUGUGGCCAUCAAACAGAUGAAUGACACCAAGUCUAAAGAGUUCAUGUCAGAGCUCAAUAUUCUUUGCAGAGUUCAUCAUACAAACUUGUUUUUCUUUCUCUUGGGUUUUCCGAAUAGAUCAAGCUUAUUGGAUAUGCUACCGGUGGAGACUCCUUGUUUCUUGUAUAUGAAUUAGCCCAAAAUGGUGCACUAAGCGAUCAUCUUCACAAUCCCGCUAUAAGAGGUUUGAACUCAUGACUAAUCAAUGAUAUUUACUUCGAUGCUCUUGCAAAUAAAUCACAAACAUCUUAGAAGUCUUGUAUGUGCAGACUCAGUCAUUUUUGUAUCAGCUAUUUGGCUCAGACUGCUUUUGUAGAACAGAAAAGUUCACAGAAAUACAGCUCCAGAGAAUUACUCCUACUUUAGUUUUGUGUAGAAGAGUGUAAUACUUGUUGAAACAAAUUUUAACAUCACAAAGUCUAACACUUACUGAUCGAUCUCCCAAAUUUGCCUACAUUUACUUUUUUCAGUGGACAUUGGUUCCAAAUAUAAUUAAGAUAUUAAUACAUCAUUAUCUCAUGGUUGAAAUAUAUAAUUUCUACGCAGCUGCAUCAAUUCAGUAUUGCUCUCUAAAUCAUAUUGUUUAGUCAGAACAUUUAACAGUUCUAAAAUCUUUUAGCAAAACAAAUAUUUUGGUAUCAGACACGACGUUCAAUAUCAAGUAAAACCACUAAAAGAAUUUGGUGAUAGUUCUAGUAGUGUUUGCUAUCAAUUGAAGUUAUUUCAUCAAAUGUACUAUCAUUUGGAAUGAAGAAAACGUAUUGACAAAUAAAAGUACUUUUAACUUUGUAUGGUUAUCGGUUCAAAGAUAAAAAUAAAUAGAUAAAAUAAGAAGUGAGCUGUGUCUUAUUUCAGUUUGCUUGUCGGCUGGAAAUUGUUUUUCGGACACAUUUUGUUCAGAUUAAUGAUUCUAGUAUAAAUAAUUGUCAAGUUAAGACGUACAAUGGGACAGACCCUUCUUCUAAACAAGUAUCCUCUACUAAAAUUGUUUCAUAUUUGAAUUUAUGGGUUUCACCUGUUUCAAUUAGUCUUGCUCGCAACUCUUUGCCUAUAGAAAUUGUAGAAAAUGCUGAUGCACCCACUUGGUAAUUCUAAGAAUGAAUUUUUGUGGUUGAAAGAAAUCUAUUGUUCAAAGUGAUUAAAGUUUUUAAAAUAUAUAUAUAUAUAUAUAUAUAUUUCUCCAUUUUCCACUGGGUCUGCUUUUAGUUAAAAAAAUGAUGAUGUUGAUGACUAGACCUUCAAUGCUAAGGCUUAAUAAAUCAACAGGUUUUAAACCUCUUCCUUGGACCACAAGAGUUCAUAUUGCUCUAGAUGCUGCAAAAGGUCUUGAGUAUAUACAUCUUUAUACCAAGCCAUACUACAUCCAUCGAGAUGUGAAGUCGAGCAACAUUCUUUUAGAUUCUUCUUUUCAUGCAAAGAUUCAGGAAGCACAUGAUUUAACCACGAGAUCCUUCAAUUUAGACUCUGCAGAAAAAGGUAUGACCGUAAUUUUUCAUCCGCUGCGUUAUAGUUUGAUUUACAUAUUGUGUUUCAGAUGCUAUCAAUUUUGGAGAACAAUGAUCCCUUUACUGAGCUGAGUCAAUGCAUUGAUCUAACUCUCACCCACUACCACAAAGACUCGCUUCUGCAGGUGAGCUCCGUUCGCGUUUUAACUUUGUUUCUCAGUCGAACUUUACCUUUACAAAAGAUAAUAUUUUCGAGGACCACUAGUAUGGAAUAUGCAUGGUUGAAAACUUGAGUUGGAAGUAUUACCGAUUUCCUAAAGGUAACUGUGGCCUGCUGGCAUUGCUAACCUGCCAAAAUCCAAUCAUGAUUUUGAGCCAAUAAGUUACAGACCAAAGCAUCACUUCUUGGCUUCAUAUUACAUUCUUGCCCAGUUCUAUUAGUGGUCCUGGUCCUGGCAUUGGCUACCUGAUUUUGGCUUGGAUCUAUGUCUAAGGCUGUUAACAACAAGAUCUUACUUUUUAGUAUUUAAGGACACUUCAGCAAAACUGUACUAAAGAAGCCUAAGCACGUCUAAAAAGGAGAAAAAAGUGUACUAAAGAAGCCUAAGGACUGAUGCUAACAAUGCUCCAAGAUGGUAUGUAAAUGUGAAAUGUUUGAUUUGUGCAUAACAACCAAAUUAAUGUUUCGAGUAAUUAUUUUAUUUUUUAAAAUUAUCAUUUUAUGUCAAAAUUAACGCUCAUCUCCCCUUCAAAAUUAAUGUGAGCAGCAGCAGCAGUAUUAAUGUUUUUUUUAACUUAUUAUUUAUGUUUCAAGUAAUUCUACGCUUGUUUUUUUGUUUUUCGGAUUGUCAAACUAAUGGCAUUCAUGUUUUCUCAGCUCCUCUCCAUCAGAUGCAGCAGUAUUAUAGGCGGCUUUGUGUCCCUAAUAACUGUUCCAGAAAAUGGAAUGCUCUUGUUCAUUGCUUAACUUUGGAGGCAAAACGAACUUCUGUAAUGGAGAUCCCACAUAUAUAUCCCACAAAACUCUAUCAUACCAGUUUGACACACACAGAUACAGACUGGGUUGGUGUUGGUAUACAAUGGUGGCCAAAGCCAAGGGGAAAAAAAGAAGAAAAACUAGCAGAAAUAUCAGUGAGUACCUCAUUGUAGUGCCUCAUGUGCUAACUGAUUUGCACACUCUUUUACUUCUCUAGGAAAAUAUGCUGGAUUUUACAGUCUCAUUCCUUCACAAAUUCCCUCAUCUGUAGCACCAAAUUCAAAUUAGGAUGUAAAGAAUUUGGACCUUGCAACAAACUCACUGCAUCUUGGCAAUCCAUCUCCAAGAUAAUCUCCCUGCAUCCUCUUUGCCAAGCGAAGAGUAGACCUUGCCAUACUGCACAUAACCCGCCGUUAAAGCAUGAGCCCACACAAUUUUCUGAAUGAAUCCCACCACCUAGAAACCGACAAUAUUUCCAAUCAAAGCCCCUACACCCGCUAGUCUUGGAUUACCAAUUGAAGCGCCAACCGUGUUUAUUUUUAAAUCCAACUUGUGACCAUUGGAAAUGUGUAACCUUAAUUGGCCAUGCCUCUAAAUUCUGUGUUGCAUCUUUCGGUGCUAUUAAACAAUUGAGUUCUGAAUGUAGUUUGUGAUGUCAUUAGGUUCUAAUUUCUAUCCGUUGAAUGGUGCUAUGUUGUUUAAGAAUUGUUUUUGUAUCUUUCAAGUUUUAUUCCUCUCUACUUGUCACUACUCUGUCUCAGGCCUUGCAGCCUCCUGGCUUCAAAAUUUUAUUGAGCUUCCAUGCCUACUAUUCAUAUCAUUUAAGAUAUUGCCAAGUUACUUUCAUAUUACUUGGAAUAUUUCUGCUAUAUGUGGCUAGCAAGAGGUAAAGUUACCCUAUUUAGUAUUAGAUUCCAAAGAGAAUAUAUCAUAUUAUAAGGUGAGUUUUCAUGUGCAUAUAUCAUAUUCUACUCUGGUUAUCUUACCUUAGCUUUUGUUUGCUUGUGUGCACGAGGGUUUGUUAUUGAACUUGAAGGCUCUUGUUCAUUUCCAUAUAUUAGAAAUCAUUAUUAUAUAUUUGAAUUCAACUUGCAUUAGAAGUUCACAUCUCCAACAAUAAAUCUGUCGGACGUGUGGUGUAAUUGACGAAGCCCCAACAAUAAAUCUGUCAAAUGAGUUGUUGCCUUUUAAAUGUAGAAAAUAUUUAAGUGGUUUGAAUUCCUACCCCUCAACAAAACAAAACCAAGGAAUUUAGAUAUUUCAUUUCAUUUCUCUUUUGUUUCUGUCAUCAUCACUUUCAGUUUCCUUUUCUUUUUACUUAACAAAUCCAAGUUCCUAAACAUAUGCACAACAACCUAUAUGCUACCAAGGCGCAGGCAUUUCAUAAAAAAUAAAUUAAAUUUUCCUCUACAUACUGAACCUGUAGGUUAUUACCCAAAUGGGAUUGAAUAGGUGUACUUGUUGAAGUCCAUCAUUGAUUUUUUCAACUUGUGACAUUGAUAUUUAAGGAUGGGCCCUGUUAUGGUGCAGCCAGUUGAUCUGGUUUUGUUUUAGUAUGGAGAUGAUCCAGAAUAUUGUAUUGUUUCAAUGUGUAAACUAAUUAUAAGAUACAUAGUCUUGUCAUUCUGUUUGUGAUUUAACAACAUAAGAAACAGUAGCAUCAUAAUUUUUUCUUCCUUUACCAAAUUGACAUGAACAGAAACAGAAUAAUGCUAUGUACACAGAACACACGCAUACAUUAGUCUCGUAUGGAAUUGUAAACUUCUUAACUACAUAAGUUUUGAAUAAUGUGCACUUCAGUGUGAGACUAAUGAAAGAACCUUUUACUGAGGGAGUUGAUUUUCAGAUUUUGCAUCUGCAUAUUAAAGCAUAAGUUUUAUUAUAUGCCCUCUUUCCACGCUACAAAGGCACGUUUCCACCCCUUCAUCCCAAAGUGAAAACAGUAGUUAUAGAGAUGGCUAGAGAUAAAAACAUAUAGACUAUUCAGAAGUAUCUUCCACUCUGCUCUCACAAAAACACAUACAUUAGUCUGGUAACAUAUAGACAAAAACAUAUAGACUAUUUAGACAAAAACACAUACAUUAGUCUGGUAAUAUGCUUCUGAUAGAGAGAUGGGUUUGUUGUUUUGCUGGAGCUUGUGUUGAUAAUCCUAACCUUGUAUCUUUCACUCCACUCUCACGCUUACCCUCCUCCAAGUAAAAGUUCAACCAAAGCAUAUAGACUAUUCAGAAGUAGAAAGACUAUUUUAACUUAGUGUCCAUUGUUGAAACAUAGGUCAAUAUUGGCAUAUUGUGGAACAAUAGUUAGAAUUGAUAUAUACAUAUGAAUGAUGUUUUAUUUACAAAAUGGUAUUGAUAGUCAUUUAAUUUGUUAAUGUUUCCUUUACUUUCCAUGUAGAAUUUACAUUUUUUGUCCAAUUUUACAAUAAAGUGAUGUGCAAAUAUUUUCAACAAAAAUUUACCUGAAAUUAUUUCUCAUUUUCUUUG